CAAGAGAUAGUUUAUAAAAAAAUAUUAAUUUUGGAGAUUAAUGAAAAAGAAAUUCUUUUCUCUUGA
rnacentral:tRNA from 1 species